rnacentral:rRNA from 1 species
GGGGGGAGCUACACAUGCAGUCGAGCGGUACAGAUCCAGCUUGCUGGAUGCUGACGAGCGGCGGACGGGUGAGUAAUGCAUAGGAAUCUGCCCGGUAGUGGGGGAUAACCUGGGGAAACCCAGGCUAAUACCGCAUACGUCCUACGGGAGAAAGGGGGCUUCGGCUCCCGCUAUCGGAUGAGCCUAUGUCGGAUUAGCUAGUUGGUGAGGUAACGGCUCACCAAGGCCACGAUCCGUAGCUGGUCUGAGAGGAUGAUCAGCCACAUCGGGACUGAGACACGGCCCGAACUCCUACGGGAGGCAGCAGUGGGGAAUAUUGGACAAUGGGGGGAACCCUGAUCCAGCCAUGCCGCGUGUGUGAAGAAGGCCCUCGGGUUGUAAAGCACUUUCAGCGAGGAAGAACGCCUAGCGGUUAAUACCCGCUAGGAAAGACAUCACUCGCAGAAGAAGCACCGGCUAACUCCGUGCCAGCAGCCGCGGUAAUACGGAGGGUGCAAGCGUUAAUCGGAAUUACUGGGCGUAAAGCGCGCGUAGGUGGCUUGAUAAGCCGGUUGUGAAAGCCCCGGGCUCAACCUGGGAACGGCAUCCGGAACUGUCAAGCUAGAGUGCAGGAGAGGAAGGUAGAAUUCCCGGUGUAGCGGUGAAAUGCGUAGAGAUCGGGAGGAAUACCAGUGGCGAAGGCGGCCUUCUGGACUGACACUGACACUGAGGUGCGAAAGCGUGGGUAGCAAACAGGAUUAGAUACCCUGGUAGUCCACGCCGUAAACGAUGUCGACCAGCCGUUGGGUGCCUAGCGCACUUUGUGGCGAAGUUAACGCGAUAAGUCGACCGCCUGGGGAGUACGGCCGCAAGGUUAAAACUCAAAUGAAUUGACGGGGGCCCGCAAAACCGGGGGAACCUUGGGUUUAAUUCGAUGCAACGGGAAAAACCUUACCUACCCUUGAAAUCCGUGGAAUUUGGGAAAAAAACCUUAAGGGCCUUCGGGAACCCAAAAACCCGGGGCGCCAGGGUUUUUCCCCCCUCCUUGGUUGGGAAAUGGUUGGGGUAAAGUCCCGGAAAAAAGGGGAAACCCUUUGUCCUUUUUUUGCCCCAGCCGUUAUUGGGGGGGGAAUCCUAUAAGGGAAUUCCCCGUGGGACAAACCCGGGAGGAGGGGGGGGGAAAGCUGCUUAGCUUUUAUUUGGGCCCUUUUAAGAUAAUGGUUUCCCCCGUGGGUCUAAAUUGGGCGGGGACCAAGAGGGGUUGCACCCCUCCCAAGGGGGGUGCCAACCACCCACCCAAACAGU